rnacentral:rRNA from 1 species
UAACCGUGCGAAGGUAGCGUAAUCACUUGUUCUUUAAAUGGGGACUAGUAUGAACGGCACCACGAAGGUUACACUGUCUCCUUUUCCCAAUCAGUGAAACUGAUCUCCCCGUGAAGAAGCGGGGAUAAAUAUAUAAGACGAGAAGACCCUAUGGAGCUUUAAACGAAGCGACAACCGCCGCCCCCUUCAAAUUUCAGAAAACUUAUUGUUAAACCCGGCGACAUGGUUGCUAGUUUUAGGUUGGGGUGACCACGGAGAAUAAAACAACCUCCGUGUUGAAAGGGGCCUCCCCUAAGCAAAAAUCCACAACUUUAUGCAUCAAUAAAUUGACAUCAAUUGACCCAAUAUUUUGACCAACGAACCAAGUUACCCUAGGGAUAACAGCGCAAUCCAUUUUGAAAGCCCCUAUCGACAAAUGGGUUUACGACCUCGAUGUUGGAUCAGGGUAUCCCAGUGGCGCAGCAGCUACUAAAGGUUCGUUUGUUC